CGAGCGCUACUUCGGUAGAGCGGCGGACGAGCGAGUAACACGUUGGAACCUACCCCGAACUCAGGGAUAACAUCUAGAAAUAGGUGCUAAUACCGGAUAGUCCCGAAAGGGUAAAGAUUUAUCGGUUUGGGAGGGGCCUGCGGCCUAUCAGCUUGUUGGUAAGGUAAUGGCUUACCAAGGCUAUGACGGGUAACUGGUCUGAGAGGAUGAUCAGUCGCGAUGGGACUGAGACACGGCCCAU
rnacentral:rRNA from 1 species